GACGAACGCUGGCGGCGUGCUUAACACAUGCAAGUCGAGCGGAAAGGCCCCUUGUGGGUACUCGAGCGGCGAACGGGUGAGUAACACGUGAGUAAUCUGCCCUUCACUUCAGGAUAGCUCCCGGAAACGGGGAUUAAUACUGGAUAUGACGCGCCUGCGCAUGUGGGUGUGUGGAAAGUUUUUUCGGUGGGGGAUGUGCUCGCGGCCUAUCAGCUUGAUGGUGGGGUAAUGGCCUACCAUUGCUUCGGCGGGUAGCCGGCCUGAGAGGGUGAACGGUCACACUGGGACUGAGACACGGACCAGACUCCUACGAGAGGCAGCAGUGGGGAAUAUUGGACAAUGGGCAGAAGCCUGAUCCAGCAACGCCGCGUGAGGGAUGACGGCCUUCGGGUUGUAAACCUCUUUCAGCACCGACGAAGCGAUCCUUUGGGGAGUGACGGUAGGUGCAGAAGAAGGACCGGCCAACUACGUGCCAGCAGCCGCGGUAAGAC
rnacentral:rRNA from 1 species